CAAAUGCACAAAUUACAGUUUUAAUCCAUUAUCUAAAUUAUUUAUCUGUCCUUCUGCAGAGCACAGCAGUAGGGGGUACUUCCAUAGGUGGUACUAGGGACAGUAUAUCCCCAGCAUCCCACGGAACACCGGGACAGCCGAGCUGCACCGCCUCGGGACCCUGCAGCCCUGGUCACGCCCUGGUUUCCAGAGAAAAAUCCAGGGGGCCAGGGGCAUCCCCGGCCACCGGGGCGAUCCCCCGACACAAGAGCGGGCCCAGGGUGCCCAUUCCCAGCGCCGUGCCGGGAUCGCCGUUACCGCGGCAACGGCGCGGCCGAGCCCCGCGGCCCCGUGACGCGGCAGCGCCGGCCCGGCCCGCGCGUUGCCGGGGAGACGCCCCGUCGCCACGGCGACCAUCACGCUGCCCUCCCCGGCUAACGAGGAAAAAUAGUAAGAACCGCCUCAGCUGCCACGAGAGCCGUCAGCGUCACCGCUCAGUGCCGGUGCUGCUGCGGGCCCUGCUGCAGCUGGCUCAUCACACCUUCGCCAUGAGGGGGGGUGGGCCAGCACGGGCCAUGAACCGCAUUCCCGGCCCUUACGAGCAUCGAGGAGAAAGCAGCUCUGCUAAACCUCAGCGCCCUGCUUUACUGCUUCGUGGAUGGCAGCCAUAGAUUAUGCCUCUCUGCUAACACUGGUCGUAAAUGAAUGCCAGAUCAAAAAACACAAAACGAACAGAAAAACUCCACCCCAUGUCUGUUUCACUGAAGCAAAGGAGAAAAUCCAGGCUAAUCCUAAGGGCCACCACAGGCAUCCAUCCACCACCAAGGGCUGGUCAAGCCACCUGGGCACCAACUCAACCUGGUGGACAUCCUGUGGCUGCACAGGCAACAUCGGCCCUCAGCUCUCCCAGGAAAAGAAUGGGCCCAUUUCCUCUGAGCGCUCCUCUGCAAAACGGCUGUUGCAGGAAGCCUGCAUGAUGCCAGCAGGAGCAUGAGCAGCACUCCCCCUCAUGUGUACAGAGAAGUUAGGAAUGUCUUCUAGUGCAUGACCUAGACACCCAGCAAGUCUGAGCUGCAGCCAAGACUGCCAACCCAAAGCGUGUCUCCAGAGUCCAGGUUCCUGAUCCUGCAAGGGCACUUCAACACCAGGUCCGGAAUGAUUCUCUACCAUUAUUUCAGUCACGGUGACCCACUGCCCAUGGGCACAACUGAUCCACUGCUCCUCCAGCACACCAGCAUGUGUCCAUUAGUACAGGUACGACGUUCACAGGACGCCCCCACAAAACAGGAAGCCUGUGUGUGUUUGUAGUGUACUGAAAGAAGAAAUGACAGGCUCCUCAGAAAAAUGAGACACUGGACAACCUCAGCAGCACCAGCAACUCUAAGAAGAAGACUGGGGCACUUGCUGAAAGACACACCACCUACAGAAAGAAGGACUGAUGCUUGGCUUGAACAGAACAAGGAAAGAAACAGAGUUUGGAGUAGGGGAGGGGAAAAGAAAUUGGAGAGAGUCUAGAAACUUCUGGAAAAAAAGCUAUGCAACUUCUACAUGGGGCUAAGUCACCAUCUUCAACCUCUGACUCCUCGGUGUUUACUAGGAAGCUUUUACUCAUUCUGAUCAUUGCAUACAAAAAGGCUGCUGAUCAAUAUUGCACAAGAGUGAUCAGUGAUUAAACAUCAGUGUAUGAAUUUAUCUGACUUAACAUGCCUGGAGUGGAAGGAAACAGGGAGAAACAAUUUCUGAGCAGACUCCAGUGAUGAAAAUCAACAAUUUGCCCAACAUCAGAUGAUCAUGUGAGGAGCUCAGAAGUAACAAGGAAGAGAAGACUUACGAUAUUCUCAGAAGGUUUUUAAAAAGCUGUUUUCCUCCCAAUUAUUCAUGAUCAAAUAAGCCUUUGAACAGAUCUACCAUCUAAGGGAAAAGAAAAUCUCAUUUAGGGAUGCCAAAGCAAGACUAUUUUGAUGACACAGGUGUCAUGCAACCAGGCCUGCUGUGACCUGAGUCACUGCUCCAGGUCUCCUGUGAUCUUUUUCUUGAUCAGUUUCACACAGGAAGCCUUCAUAUCUGACACACCAAAAAUAGCAUACGGUUUAAAAACGAAAAUCCUUCAGAGAAGGGCUGCAACUCUUUUCUUUUUCAAAAUGCAAAUGUACUUUCAGUAUAGUGCAAAGAUGUCUGAAAGCACUGGUCCCCGCAUUCCUCAGACAGAUGCUUAAGACCAGUUACAUUUAGAGACGAUGCAGGUAUGAAAAAAAAGAGAACUAAGGUGUGUGUGUCAGGGGGGAAACCACAAAAACAGCAAUUGGAAUUGAAUAGCUGAAGGUGAAAAGCAACGAAAAAUAAGAUACAAAUACCCCUACAGAGAAAAAUGCAUAGCUAGAAAAUUAAGUCCAAACUGCUGAAGGCCAUACUCAAAGGUUGAACAAAAAGGAAUGGAUGCCUUAUAUUGAUUCCAUUCACCCUACCAAUACUGAAACACUUAAAAAGCAGUCAUCUUACCUUUCAGAGCUGCAUCAUGUACCAAACCCUGCUGAAAACCAGUAACCAGCCUUUGAGGACGCUGGUGCUGUAAAAACUCACCACGGCUUGACCCCGCAAGAGGAAGCCUGUUAUACCAGCUCCAAAGCACUGGCCCAUAAAAAGGGCUGUCUGCUCCAAAGAGUCCUUCUCUCUUCAUAGUUGCACCCAAUGACCAUAAAUGCUGACAUCUGCAUGCAUGGUGAAGGACUUCUGUAAUUACUGUGAUUUUCUUGCAAAAGACUCUCUCAGGCAAUACUAAACACACCACUAACAGAAGAGUUUGAAGGAAACUUGACAGAUUAUAGCUUUAUUGCAGCCUCCAGAAUCUGGCUUUAAUGUUGCUGAUUCAUCGCAUUUUUAGCAUGUUGGUAUUCUAGAUGUUUCCAUUAGAAAGUCAUGAGAUGGUGCAAAGUCAUGGAGGGGGAAGGGGCGCAAAUGAAAAAACAUUUCCAGCUGUAUUUGCUUCUAGAAAAGAGCUUAUUAAAGUUCUUAUAGGCUCUAAAAUAAAGCACACAGCUCCUCCCUUCAUUGUUUUUAAAUGACAACGUGAUUUUUAAGCCAAUUUCAUAACUUUUAAGAUACAAAUCUCUGUAUAAAUAGCCUCCCACACCACUCUUAUAUCUAUUCAUAUUAUUACAAACACACCUUUAGAUGAUAACAUUACUUGGUUUAACUUAAAAGCCAUGCAACACAAAGUUUAUUUGAGCAAUUGCAGAAUUCCCUCCUUUUCCAAACAAAAGCAUGUCUUGGUACACAGUGCAAGAAGUCUGAAGCUACACAUGGCAUGGACUGAAAAGCUGUUUAAACCACUCUAAAAUGGUUUCAAUUUUUCACCUGAUUCAAGAGGAAUCAAUAUAUAGUCAAAACACACAAAAAAAAAAAGUUCACUGAAGAAGCAAAUUCUUCCCCUUUUAAAUGCAUGUCAAAAUUAAAGAUUCAAAGUGCCAAUCCAACAAAUUUGCA